rnacentral:rRNA from 1 species
CUGAGAAACGGCUACCACUUCCAAGGGAGGCAGCAGGCGCGCAAAUUACCCACUCCCAGCACGGGGAGGUGGUGACGAAAAAUACCGAUGCGGGACUCCUAUGAGGCUCCGUAAUCGGAAUGAGUGGACUCUAAAUCCUUUCACGAGGAUCAAUUGGAGGGCAAGUCUGGUGCCAGCAGCCGCGGUAACUCCAGCUCCAAUAGCGUAUAUUAAAGUUGCUGCAGUUAAAAAGCUCGUAGUUGGAUCUCGGUCGCAUUUUUGCCUGUUGGUAUUAUUGGGCGGCGGUGCUAGGCUGCCGGCGUGUCGUGCUUGUGUACCGGUACCCGGAAGGGUCCGCGCAUGGGUGCGUGCGUGGGCAGUCUGUUGAAUGCGCAGUCGUCCCAAGCUGGCAUGGCGAGGAUGUAACCUGUAAGCCAUGUCUGUGGAGUAACAUCCACAGGUGUAUGCGGGUGUCGGGCAGUGCACUGCACUUGUUGUGGAGCCUGUCGGCCCGUGUGCAUGCCCUCUUGGUGCCCUUAAAAAGGUGUCGGGGGGCGGAUGGCACGUUUACUUUGAACAAAUUUGAGUGCUCAAAUCAGGCCGAUGUUGCCUGAAUACUUUUGCAUGGAAUAAUGGAAUAGGACUUCGGUUCUAUUUCGUUGGUUUUCGGAUCCGAAGUAAUGAUCAAAAGAGACAGGCGGGGACGUUUGUAUGGCUGCGCUAGAGGUGAAAUUCGUGGACCGUAGCCAGACAAACUAAAGCGAAAGCAUUCGUCAAGCAUGUUUUCAUUGACCAUGAGCGAAAGUCAGAGGCUCGAAGACGAUCAGAUACCGUCCUAGUUCUGACCAUAAACGAUGCCAACUGACGAUCCGUGGUGGUAGUUAUAACCUUCCCCACGGGCAGUCCCCGGGAAACCUUUAAGUCUUUGGGUUCCGGGGGAAGUAUGGUUGCAAAGCUGAAACUUAAAGGAAUUGACGGAAGGGCACCACCAGGAGUGGAGCCUGCGGCUUAAUUUGACUCAACACGGGAAAACUCACCCGGGCCGGACACUAUGAGGAUUGACAGAUUGAUAGCUCUUUCUUGAUUUGGUGGUUGGUGGUGCAUGGCCGUUCUUAGUUGGUGGAGCGAUUUGUCUGGUUAAUUCCGAUAACGAACGAGACUCCAGCCUGCUAAUUAGUGCGUUUGUCCACUGCCCCUGCUGGACGGCGUUGAAUGCGGCUGCUAGUGGGUUUCGGCCUGCUCUGCGGCUAGUCAGACGGCGUUAGUCCUCGGGGGCGGCGCGAAUGCUCACUUCUUAGAGGGACAAGCGGGAGAAGCCGCACGAAAUAGAGCAAUAACAGGUCUGUGAUGCCCUUAGAUGUCCGGGGCCGCACGCGCGCUACAAUGGCGGUGUCAACGAGUGAGACCUUCUGGCCCGAAAGGGUUGGAUAAACUGGUCAAUCACCGUCAUGACAGGGAUCGGGGCUUGGAAUUGUUCCCCGUGAACGAGGAAUUCCUAGUAAGUGCAAGUCAUAAGCUUGCGCUGAUUACGUCCCUGCCCUUUGUACACACCGCCCGUCGCUACUACCGAUUGAAUGGUUUAGUAAGGUCCUUGGAUCGACGCCUUUGUAGCUGCCACCGAAAGGUGUGUAGUUCGUCUGGCGU